rnacentral:rRNA from 1 species
GACGAACGCUGGCGGCGUGCUUAACACAUGCAAGUUGAACGGAAAGGCCCUGCUUUUGUGGGGUGCUCGAGUGGCGAACGGGUGAGUAACACGUGAGUAACCUGCCCUUGACUUUGGGAUAACUUCAGGAAACUGGGGCUAAUACCGGAUAGGAGCUCCUGCUGCAUGGUGGGGGUUGGAAAGUUUCGGCGGUUGGGGAUGGACUCGCGGCUUAUCAGCUUGUUGGUGGGGUAGUGGCUUACCAAGGCUUUGACGGGUAGCCGGCCUGAGAGGGUGACCGGCCACAUUGGGACUGAGAGACGGCCCAGACUCCUACGGGAGGCAGCAGUGGGGAAUAUUGCACAAUGGGCGGAAGCCUGAUGCAGCAACGCCGCGUGCGGGAUGACGGCCUUCGGGUUGUAAACCGCUUUCGCCUGUGACGAAGCGUGAGUGACGGUAAUGGGUAAAGAAGCACCGGCUAACUACGUG